ensembl:lncRNA
GUGGGGCAGAACUUCCCGAUCAGUUUGCACAUCUUUCAGGAAUGGUCCCUUCCCUUCCCCUCCUUUCCAUUCCAGUCUGUGUUGCUAGUUUUCUCCCCAAUAAUCCCAAUUUUAAGAGAAAUUAACACUUACUCAGCACUCACCAUGCUUCUUCACCGUAUUGCUCUAAGUCAGGGAAGCGUGUUUGCCUCUCUCGUUUCAUUUCCUUUGAUAGAACUAUUUACUCUGUUGCACAGCUUCUCAUCCACUUCUCUCGCCCUGCCCUCUGGCUUCUCCCCCAUCCUAAUCCAAGCUUCUAGCUUCACCCACUAGCCUCAAUCCAAUGGUGCUGAGCUUAAAAAGUUGGGUCGAGUGAGGUGCUAGCUAAUGUGUAAGAGCCAGCUCUCACAGAAACUAAGAAUCCUAACUCAUGGGGAAUGUGAGGAUUAAAUGAGUCAACUCACCUUACAGUACCUGGCCCACAGCAGACACCCUGCUUGGUAAUGUUGGCCGUCAUCCUUCUCAGGACCACCCAACAAAGGCGUCCCUAGGGUAAACACGGCAGGACGCUUCUUCUUCCUCACCCAGGGACUUGCCACACUGCAGAGGGCUGCCCAGGCAGGACUGGAGAAGGUGGGCGGUCUGGUCCUUCAUGCAGUCGUGGUUGAGCCCGGAGUAGCGCCGUGAACUUCUGCUCCCCUUCCUACCCCGCCAGCUCUCCUGACAAAGCUCCAGUGUGGCUGCGCUCCACCUCCUCAUGGAGCCACAUUGGAAUCACCUGGAAGCUUGACCAUUUAUUUGAGCCAGGUUUCUUACCCACCCAGAUUCUGAUUUAACAAAUCAGAGUUCUGACCCAACAUCAGGAUUUUUUUUUUUUUUUAAUCUCUCCAGGUGAUUCUCAUGUGCAGCCAAGACUGAGAACCUCAUGAAGACAGAUAAGCAGGGCUACUCCCGAGGGUGAGUGCUCAGCUUUUAUUGGAAGCAGGCUUGGCCUGAGUGCAUCUGAAUUCAUCCUUCCUGGUGCCCAAACCAGCCCAGAGAAUUCCUGUGGCUGGAGUGACCCAUACAGACAAUGUUAUAGAAAGGAUGCCAGCAACUAACGGGGCACAGAACUACAGGAGUGGGCAGGCUGUAAGGGCUCCCUAACUGAGAAUGCCGUGUCUCCAUGCAACACCCUGGGUCUGCCUCUAAUGCCUGGAGUCUUUCCUGUUCCAAGAACCAGCAAGGCUGUGGUCAUGUGAAAAGCAUUCUUGGGGGUUGUGUGUGCACAGCCAACAUGACUGCACACAAGGGCCUCGACCAAAGGCAGUACACACAAUGUCUGGCAUCUCUCAGGACAGUGAUCCAAAACACGUGUUUGGCCAAGGCUCAGGAAGACCCCACACUAAUAGGCCCCACCACGCCAUCAGCCAGGAGGGAAGCCUGCCUGUCCCCGUCCUCACCGAAGGAUGGUCACCAACAGGAGAAGCUGCUCUAGAAGCACGGGAGGAAGACGCUCAGCCCAGAUCCACUCCAGAUCCCACAAAUAGGCUUGAGCAGGCUUGGGCAAAGCGUGGAUUAUGUAAAUACGUAUUUGGGGACUUUUUAAACACAGAUUAUUCACCCAAUUAACUCUAAUGGCCCCUCAGAGCUGAGAGAGAGUAUUGUGUAAACACGUGGGGCUGAAUGUGGCCUCAGCCCCAAGAUUUCCUCAAAAGACGGGGUUUACGAGUCCCCCAUAAGGGUUCCCCCUGGGCCCCAACUUGGCAGAUAAGUUCAUUGCCCGAAAGGGAAUUCUUGCCUAAAAAUCUGAAAAGGGUAAGAAUAAAAAGAAGGAUCUAGCCCCCUUUUAGCAAGUAGGGAGCUCUCUGGGUACAGAUUUUAUAUAUAUUUUCAUUUGCCAUAAAACAUACCAUUAUAUGACAUAGAACAUCUGGUAGCCUAUGGUAGCCUAGCUCUUUCCCAAUAAUAGGAGAAAUUGUAGAUUUCUCUCCAGCAGCCACUUACGUUCACAUAUUCUAAAUGUUUCCCACUGGAUACAACACAGCCGGGAGGGCGGCCAAACCCGGGCCUGCCUCAGUGAGGCGGUGGGAGACCCACCCCAGUCAGUCCUGUUAAGAACAGGGAGGUUCGGCACACCAGUCCCAGCGGGGAGCCCCCAGGAGGGGCUGGGCCUCCUCCAAGAGAUGAGCACAGGGUCGACCCCCCAACGCAGAGAGCCUUGGAGUCCAAGGGGGUGUGUCCAUGGUCAAGUCUGCUGACCGAUGGGGGAACAGGGGUAAUUUUCUCACCUUAACCAGGAACAAGUCUUCUGAAAUCCUCUUGGGCAUAAAGGCCCAUGGGAGAGACAUGGAGUGUGAGGGCCCAUCCCUGCUUCAGGGAGCUUACACAUCCAAGGAAACAAGCUCAUCUUUCCGUGGCCACCACCCUGCUCCCCACACAUACAUGCAUCCCAGCGGAAGAGGCGGGAACCCAGGAGUCCUUGUUCCCUCUCCCCCCACUGCCCAGGACCCAGCCUUCACCACAUUGACGAGCCUCACCUCCAGGAUCUCUCCAUGGCCACAGCCCCUACCCCAACCAGCCAUGCCUUUCCCUUGCCCUUCCUCACUAGUCUCCCAGCUUCCUCUGGUCCUUCUCUGUCCGUUUUUUGCUUUUGGGGAUGCACAAGUGACCAAGACCCCAGCCUGGCAUAGAACCCUUCCUACUGCUCUUAGGAUAAAUACCUUCACAUAGUUCAUUACUAACUGGGUCCCACUCACCCCAUUACUCCCUCUGCCUAGAACUCUCUUCCCUCCUAUCUUCUCCAAGUUACCUCUCACUGAGCCUCCUACAUUCAGCAAGUGUUAGUCACUCAGUCGUGUUCAACUCUUUGUGACCCAGUGGACUGUAGCCCACCAGGCUCCUCUGUUCAUGGAAUUCUCGAGGCAAGAAUACCAGAGUGGGUUGUCAUUCCCUUCUCCAGGCGAUCUUCCUGACCCAGAGAUCAAACCCAGGUCUCCUGCAUUGCAGGCAGACUCCUUACUGUCUGAGCCACCAAGGAAGCCAAGCAGGAAGUCUGUCAGAGCAAAUGUCAUUUCCCCCAGAAGCCAAGUAUGGGCUCUUACAACUCUUUGGUGGCCGAUGACCAAACAAAAAUUACUCCCAGUGCUGGGCACUUGGCACACGGUGGUGUUCAGUAACCAUCUGAACAAAAGGGCUUCACCAAGACAAAUAACCAGGAGGAGGAGGCAUCUCCAGGCUGCACACUGAGAAUGGUACGGAAGCAGGGAGAGAAGGGGCAGGCACCACCUCCCUCGAUUCAGCUCUGCCAACAGCCCUGUGAGGGCUCUAUUUAGGAUGCCUGGGGCUCGUUCAUCCUGACAGCGCAGGAGACCUGGCGGGUCCAAGCAGAGGAAUCAACAUGAGC